AUGGCAGAGGAGGACCCCACGGCGGAGCACGGCCUCAAGCUUGCCAUCAAAGACUACCCUUUCGCUAAUGACGGGAUCCUCAUCUGGGGCGCGUUCAAGGGGUGGGUGCUGGCAUACGUCUCCUGGUAUUACUGGGACGUUGCCACCGUCGCCGGCGACGUGGACCUACAGGCGUUCUGGAAGGAGUAUGACUUCGGGGGACACUUCCCGAACCGCCCCUCCAUCGCUCGCACCAACAUGCCGGUGGAGGAGCCUGUGGACAACCAGGCGCUCCGAGAAUGCUUCCCGUCGCAGGUGCAGGCAAAGCUUGUGAUGACGGUUUUGGACGUGUUGUCCAGUCACUCUCCUGACGAGGAGUACCUCGGAGGGAUGGAGAGCGCACAUUGGGGCGACGACACCAUGAUGUGCAUUGCUCUCAAGUGGAAGGGAUGUGGUUGGAAAGGGAAGAGCACACAGAAAAGUUUCAUCAAGUGCAACAUAUGGUGUGCCAUUACUAACAUUCCCCCUCUAACUGGAUACCCCUUCGCCCGAUCCCCCCUUUCCUCUCCCUCGCCAGACCCCCCUUGCCUCCCCGCGCCCGCUCUACACCCGCUCCGUCUCCCCCACGCCACCGCCACCACGCCCCCGCGCCCCCCACCACUGCAUUCGCUGCACCACCGACGACCGCACGGGGUGCAGGACGACGACGCCGCCGACCCGCGAAGCACGUGGUCGCCGGCCUCCCCACGACCAACCGAGGCGCCCAGGAGGACCGCCGACGUCUUCCUCUUCGACUACGAGGACCCGGACGAGCUCGGACGCCCUCGAGCCAUCCCUUCAACGCCGCCGCCGCCACCGACCCCGACCCCGACCCCUCCGGCGACCGGCUGCGCCCGCCUAGGUACCUCUCCUCCUUCCUCCUUCCUCCCUCUCCACCCUUCCUCCCCAUUCCCUCCCUCCCUCCCCUCGACCGUUUGGAUUGGUAAUGGGGACUGGACUGCGUUCAUGAGUUGGCAGAAAGGAGCGAGAUCAUUCUGCAGUUUAUUCAGUUCUAACCGAAUAAAUGCCUAA
rnacentral:rRNA from 1 species